UGGCCCGCGGCCACCCGUCGUCGGGGAAGGAGCUCAGUCGCAUUGUGCCCGCUUUGAGAAUUGGUGUGCUGUGCUUUAAAUGAAAUGAAUAGAAAAAUACUAACAUUUUUAUUGUUAGAAGAAGAAGAAGACGAUGAAAUAUUAAUAUUAUCAAAAAAUAAAAGAGAGCCAACCGAUAUAUUUAAAAAUCGGGAAAAUGAAGGUGCAUUUUUUAACCUGGUUCUCAAACACUUGAUGUGCAAUGAAGAAAAAUUUACAUCUUAUUUUCGACUAACUCGAGAACAGUUUGCAAAAGUAUUGAAUCUGAUUGAAAGUGAUAUUACUACGAAGCGAAGUAAUAAAUAUCCUGUGCCUAUUUCUCCAGCUCAAAAACUAGCGGUGUCGAUAAGAUACUUGGCAACAGGAGAAAGUUUACGAUCGCUAGCAUACCAGUAUCGUAUUUGUCAAUCACAUCUGUCAAAAAUAUUUUAUGCAACAUUUAGAGCUAUUUGUAAGCAUUUAAAACCAUUAUAUUUACCACAAGUGACAGAAGAACUUUUAAAAAAUGUUGCAAGUAACUUUUUAGCUAAAUGGAAUUUUCCUAACUGUUGCGGUGCCUUGGACGGAAAGCACUGCCGUGUGCAAUGUCCGCCAAACAGUGGAUCGUUAUUUUAUAACUAUAAACAUUUUUUUUCUGUCGUGUUAAUGGCCUUAGUGGAUGCAGACUGCAAAUUUAUAUGCGUCGAUAUUGGAUCUUAUGGAAAAGAGGGAGACAGUGGUAUAUUUUCAAAAUCGGUACUAGGAAAGCAGAUCGAACAUGGUGGAUUUCCUUUUCCUGGUGACGCAAGAUUACCAGGUUCAGAUAUUUAUUUUCCACACUUUGUCAUAGGAGAUGGGGGCUUCAAGUUAUUGCCUAGACUUAUGAAGCCAUAUUCUAAUGCCCAAAGUCAAGUAGAUAUUCUUAAACGACAAUACAACUACAGGCUUAGUCGUGCACGAAGAACUGUGGAAAGUGCGUUUGGUAUAUUAUCUAAUGUUUUCCGAGUGUUUCAUACACCUAUAUUACUCAAAAACACAGACACAGUAGACUACUUAAUUCUCGCAAGUUGCUGUCUUCAUAACAUGCUAAUGGAAAAUAAAAGCAAUGAAAACCCCACAAACUCUAAUACCAGCAACAAUAACACGAAUCAAAGCAAUUUGACGGCACUUCGACGGACUGGUGGUGUAGGUGGAGUCGCAGGAAUAAAUUUAAGAAAUGAGUUGAAAGACUAUAUAUGUUCACCUCAAGGGUCAGUGACAUGGCAAUUAAAUAUGGUGUAAUUAUAGGUACUAAGAAUGUAAAAUUGUAAAUAAACACUCACCUGGAA